CAGGGGGAGCGUUCCAUUAUUUCACUAAAUACCAAGGGUACAAAUCAUGUGUAAUUCAAACUAGCUCUGGCACAGGAGCAUAUCUGUCUUUGUUGAACUUGGUCAACUAGCACAAAUAACAGAUUUACCCCUCUGUUAUCUGAUUUUGACCGAGGGUUUCCGAUGUUUAGUGUGCACUCGUGGUCAAUUGACGAACUCCUCGGUGGACUGUGAAAUGGAGGCUACAUAGAAGUUAAACAGUAAUUUAGAGCAAAUAUCCCCAUUCAUGAAAAUGCAGCCGAGGACUGACAUUUCAAAGCGCACUAUGCCAGAUCAGGUAGUAUUAAAAACUGUGUGGACGGUCGAGACAACAUCUCUCGGAGGGAUUGCCUUGUUUAUUGGAUCUGAGGCUUUGGUCGACCCAGGUUCCCCCAGAGACGUUCUAUUGUCAUGCUCAGGAAGCUUUCAGAACCUCACGGUGCAGUCACUCUGAAUGAGUGAGAAGGGUACAGCACACAGAAGGGAUUGGUUCCCCUGAGAGAGUUCCAUUAUGCUGGAAGGCCAUGAGAGCCAUUCUACUUCAGGACUGUGGGACCACACUAUUUUGGAAUGACGAAAGCAAGCUACAAAGUCCUGGUACUUGAAAAUAAAGAAACAACCAUUCAGCUUCUAAAAUGUACAUGUUGCCAUCAGUAGCCUAUAUUAUUUAGAAACCGUAAACCUUACAUUGACAGAAGUAACUCUGAUGCUAAAAUUAGACCUCCCUCUUAACCCCAUAAUCCCUUUCAAACACAAUGUGUACAGGUUAAACAUUUCCACAUGACAUUAAUCCAAAUACUUAAUAGUUUAUUGUUUACAUGUUACAGUGUUCACUAUAGCCUCAUGACUCAACAUUCACCGUAAAAUAAUUGAUUGGUGGUGAGAGAAAUCAUGACAAUUACAUAUUUGUGUUAACAUGGAGUGGAAUAAAGUUGUAUCCUCCAUGCUCUGAACAGAACAGCAAUCUAUGAGUAACAUGGAAGGCCAAAGCUAGGUUCUACCUGGUGUAGGAACAGUGAGGUCAGGACUGACAGAUGAACCCAACCUGGGGUGAAGUGCAAAACAUGGUCAUGGGCAGGACAAGACUGAGUCUGCUGAGUGGUCUCAUUCCCCAAAAAAUUGACAGAGGAUUCGGUGUGAAGGUGAUGGCAGCAGAGCAGUUGGCUGGCGUGUCUGUGGAGUUUGCAAUUGACCUGUGGAGGGCCACGUUCUGCAGCGAUUCUGGGUGGGCUGGUAUCCAUCAACACCUGGCUGAUCCAAGGAAGUGACCAUGACAUGACUCAAGGAAGGACGAUGGUUGUGGUUUUCUUGUGUUCACACAAUCCAAUUCAAUUCCAAAGAGGUUUCUAUAUGGAACCCAACAUAGUUCCCCUAUGGGAGCAGCCAAAGAACCCUUUUUGGAACCCUUUUUUUCAAUGAGUGUACCCAUAUGUACAGAAGCCUUCUGCCCUAGACCUGGGCCAUCUUCCUAGUGUGUCUCUCCCUGGCCACGUUCUCUCCUCAGACAGCUCUGACUGUCACUAUUUGAGCAAAAUGGCCCACUGACAGAUCUCUGUCCUGCAGGUACUUAGCACCACUGCAAUGUUUGCUGAUGUCUUUCAACUGACAUGGCUGACCUAUGUUAAUUCCAUUCUUUCCGAUGGGUUCUGAGUGACCCAAAAUAGCACCUUGUGUGUGAAGUGGUUCCACGUAAUUCAUCACCCUGCUGGAUAUAGUAUCUUUUAAGAAGGGGAGAAGUGCUGCUGUUCCUAGGAAUCGGACAAUAGUUACAGCAUACAUGGACACAAGUGGAUGAUUACUCUUCUCUGUACUCAAGUCAUAGUACUCAGAAUUGCUUGCCACGUUCAAGCAGUUCACUACACCUGCAAUAACAUCUGCUAUGCAUGAGUUUGCAACCAAUAAUAUUAUUUCAAUUAGUCAAAAUGCUGAAUAAAAUGUAGAAGCAUACCAAGCCAGGGAUGGAGGUUGAUCCUCUAUAAGAAGUGGUUGUGGAAAAGCCUGCCAAACGAGGUGAAAUGCCACACAUAUUCCUUGCAUACUUCCAAUUGUAUGCGCUGCAAUUUAUGUAAAUGUUGAGGCCAUUAUAAAGGACAUCAUACAACAUUGCAAUUAGUGAUAACACUGAAGCAUGUGGUAAGGGCCUGGGUUUUGUUGACUCUCUCUCCCCCUCUUAACUCUUGUUUGUGAAGAGGGGAUUAGGAUUAUCAUUGAAUUCACCAUACAACAAAGAUUUAACCUAGAGCUCUAAGAGGGAGCGUAAACUCUUGUCAAAAGCAAUGGAAUUAGCGUUUCUGCAAUAAUGCACCGACAACGUGUAUGAAUACGUAACUUAAAAUACUACUACACAAACCAAUGUUAUAGUUUUAUGCAGUAUUGUGAUGGCCAUACAUAAAUGAAACACUUAUUGCAGGGUUUAGCCAUGGAACUUUUUUGUUCAGUGUGAAAAGAAAAUGUCUUCACGAUUCUCCAUAAAAUGUACAAUGAUAUGCGUCAAACAACACAAACACAAGGUUUUAGAACCUGUUCAGAUGCUAGAUUGGGGUUAGGGGUUAGACUGGUCGAGGGGGGCGUGGCCGAUUUUGGCCUUGCUUCUUUUAGUGAUGAAUAAAGACACAAUUGUUUGUCAGUCAGACUGAGAACAGGUGUUACGGAGCUGCAGACUGUAAAGCUAGAGGCCAGUGGUCUUGCUCUCUGAUUUCAGGGGACAGAAGAGGGAGGGUUCCUAUUAUGUGGCCCCGGCACAGCCUAUGGCCACUGGGAGAGUAUUGCCUGUCUGAAUGUGGAGACUGUCGCUACUUCUGACAUACUGGGUGGUAACUCUAGAGUACGUAUGUCCCCACAUGCAUUCUUCCUUCAUGGUCAGAGAAGCUACCCAGCUUGUAUCCACCCCCUUAGGGAAUAACAACUAUUUGUAUUAGGAGCAACAACAAAAAAAGGGUUCUUGGUUUCUAUUUCAAUGAUCUACCAAUGUUUCAUGGAAAUGUCACAGGUGUGUGUAUAGUUUUGCCAUAAUGAUAAUUAAGAGUGCUUAUAUUUACUGAGGAUGCACACAUCAAAUAAAUAGUUUAAAAGCUGUAGCUGGUUGCAGGAAACAUGCAGAUGAUAUUAGACAGUACAUUUGGAAACCACAGCAAUGCUAACAUUUUCCAUUUACAGCCUUCUCAACCUGGUCUCAGAGCUUUUCAAAUGAUUCUGUAUGCAAGUAUUAAUUUGUGGACGUCCAUCACCCAUUUCGUAUUAUUUGCUAUGAAUUUGCAAAACGUACAAUAUAUUAUGCAUUUUCAAACUAAUUUGCAAAAGUUAUGAUAUGUUACGAAUUCUAGCAAGGCGACUAGGUGGCUAACGUUAGCUAGCUCGAUAAUGUUAGCUAUGCUAGGGGUUAAGUUGAGCAGUUUGGUUAAAGGGUUAAUGUUAGGGAAAUGGUUAGCUAAAAAGGUUAAGGUUAGUUUUUGAAGUGUUAGCUAAAACGGUUAAGGCUAGGGUUAGGGGAAAGGUUAUCUAACAUGCUAAGUAGUUGCAAAGUAGCAAAAAGUAUUAUGUAGUUGAAAAGUUGCUAAUUAGCUAUAAUACUAAAGUUGUCCAUGGUAAGAUUUGAACUCGCAACUUUUGGUUGCUAGACAUUUGUGUAAUCUACCCCGGCCAACAAUCCUCCUUUGUUUUGCCUGAAGUAAAUGUCUGUCUUAUGUAACAAUACCAAAUGGAGUGUCUCAGAUCUAUGUACAGAAUAUUAAUGGAGUGUCUCAGAUCUAUGUACAGAAUAUUACGAAAUGCUCUGAGACCAAGUUGUUCCUGAUUUAAUGAUUUAUCAAUCUCCUACUGCCCAGACUACAUCAUCAUUGAUUUAGUAUGUGAUGGGGCUCAGAAUUUUUUUCCAGGCAGAGACUAUUGUUCUUUGUAGUGACAUGAGGUGACGUUGUGGAAUUGUUGGUGCAAAUGGUACCCAAUCCCUCAAAAUAGUAAUUUGCACUUGUGAAGGUGUUAUCAAUUGUUUUGAAGAUGGCAUUAGAGAAAUUAUAUCAGACUAAUUUGAAAUUGACUGUCAUAGCCCCACAUUAAAAGUAUGUGAUCAUAAGUUAAGACAAUCAGAAAUACUGUUAGAAUGUUUUGCAAUUGACUGCCAUAGCCCAAAAUAAAAAAGUUCACACUGGCUGAGCUAACAUAGCCUAAUGUGAUUAGCAUGAGGUUGUAUGUCCCUGAUCAUAGACAUGUCUGAUAUUGGCAGAAAGCUUAAAUUCUUGUGAAUCUAACUGCACUGUCCAAUUUACAGAAGCUAUUAGUGAAAGAAUACCAUGCUAUUGUUUGAGGAGAGUGCAGUUAUGAACUUGAACACGUAUUAAUCAACCAAUUAGGCACAUUUAGGCAAUCUUGAUACAAAAUGUUGAACAUAAAUGCAAUGGUUCAAUGGAUCAGUCUAAAACACACACACACGCUGCUGCCAUCUAGUGGCCAAAAUCUAAAUUGCACCUGGGUUGGAAUAAUACAUUAUGGACUUUCUCUUGCAU